GCCUGGGUGGCUCAGUCGGUUGAGCGGCUGACUUCGGCUCAGGUCAUGAUCUCGCGGUUCGUGAGUUCAAGCCCCACGUCGGGCU
rnacentral:tRNA from 1 species